rnacentral:rRNA from 1 species
AUUGAACGCUGGCGGCAGGCCUAACACAUGCAAGUCGAACGAGUCGCGGACGGGUGUGUAAUGUAUCGGCACCUGCCUGAUGGAGGGGGAUACCUACUGGCAACGGUUGCUAAUACCGCAUACCUGCAGCUGUGCCCAGUUGGGACUAGCUUGUCGGUGGGGUAACCGCUCACCAAGGAGACGAUCCCUAGCUGGCCUGAGAGGAUGACCAGCCACACUGGAACUGAGACACGGUCCAGACUCCUACGGGAGGAAGCAGUGGGGAAUAUUGGACAAUGGGCGGAAGCCUGAUGCAGCCAUGCCGCGUGUGUGAAGAAGGCCUUCGGGGUGUAAAGUACUUUCAGCGGGGAGGCGUUACCCGCAGAAGAAGCACCGGCUAACUCCGUGCCAGCAGCCGCGGUAAUAC